GAUGAACGCUGGCGGCGUGCCUAAUACAUGCAAGUCGAGCGAACGGACGAGAAGCUUGCUUUUCUGAUGUUAGCGGCGGACGGGUGAGUAACACGUGGAUAACCUACCUAUAAGACUGGGAUAGCUUCGGGAAACCGGAGCUAAUACCGGAUAGUAUUUUGAACCGCAUGGUUCAAAAGUGAAAGACGGUCUUGCUGUCACUUAUAGAUGGAUCCGCGCUGCAUUAGCUAGUUGGUAAGGUAACGGCUUACCAAGGCAACGAUGCAUAGCCGACCUGAGAGGGUGAUCGGCCACACUGGAACUGAGACACGGUCCAGACUCCUACGGGAGGCAGCAGUAGGGAAUCUUCCGCAAAGGGCGAAAGCCUGACGGAGCAACGCCGCGUGAGUGAUGAAGGUCUUCGGAUCGUAAAACUCUGUUAUUAGGGAAGAACAUAUGUGUAAGUAACUGUGCACAUCUUGACGGUACCUAAUCAGAAAGCCACGGCUAACUACGUG
rnacentral:rRNA from 1 species